CGAGCGGAUGAGAGGAGCUUGCUCCUGGAUUCAGCGGCGGACGGGUGAGUAAUGCCUAGGAAUCUGCCUGGUAGUGGGGGACAACGUUUCGAAAGGAACGCUAAUACCGCAUACGUCCUACGGGAGAAAGCAGGGGACCUUCGGGCCUUGCGCUAUCAGAUGAGCCUAGGUCGGAUUAGCUAGUUGGUGAGGUAAUGGCUCACCAAGGCGACGAUCCGUAACUGGUCUGAGAGGAUGAUCAGUCACACUGGAACUGAGACACGGUCCAGACUCCUACGGGAGGCAGCAGUGGGGAAUAUUGGACAAUGGGCGAAAGCCUGAUCCAGCCAUGCCGCGUGUGUGAAGAAGGUCUUCGGAUUGUAAAGCACUUUAAGUUGGGAGGAAGGGUUGUAGAUUAAUACUCUGCAAUUUUGACGUUACCGACAGAAUAAGCACCGGCUAACUCUGUGCCAGCAGCCGCGGUAAUACAGAGGGUGCAAGCGUUAAUCGGAAUUACUGGGCGUAAAGCGCGCGUAGGUGGUUUGUUAAGUUGGAUGUGAAAUCCCCGGGCUCAACCUGGGAACUGCAUCCAAAACUGGCAAGCUAGAGUAUGGUAGAGGGUGGUGGAAUUUCCUGUGUAGCGGUGAAAUGCGUAGAUAUAGGAAGGAACACCAGUGGCGAAGGCGACCACCUGGACUGAUACUGACACUGAG
rnacentral:rRNA from 1 species